rnacentral:rRNA from 1 species
GAUGAACGCUAGCGGCAGGCCUAAUACAUGCAAGCUGAACGGCAAGAUUUGUAGCAAUACGAGUCCUAGAGUAGCGUAAGGGUGCGUAACACGUAUGCAAUCUGCCCGCAACAGGAGGAUAGCUUAGCGAAAGUUGAGAUAAGACUCCAUAAGAUCACGAGAGGGCAUCUGAUUGUGAUUAAACUACAAGGGGUUGCGGAUGAGCANGCGUCUGAUUAGUUAGUUGGCGGGGUAACGGCCCACCAAGACGAUGAUCAGUAGGGGAACUGAGAGGUUCGGUCCCCCACACUGGC